CGCUCUUUCACUCCUCGCUUCUUCGCGCCAAUGAAGCUCUCCAAUCUUCCUUCCUCCCAUUCUGCCAUCCCAGCCCUUCUAUGUUGACUUCCUUCCAUUUCUCUCUUUGCCUCUCCGACUCACCCCAUGAUCCUCCAAAAGCAACUCUCUUCACUAUGUUCCCGGUAUUCUGCCUUAACACAAUCUGUUUCUAUGGCACUUCGCGCAUCACUACGUCGGUCGGCUUUGCCUUCCUUCCUGCCCAACCCCUUCCUGCGCUAUUGUUACUAUCCUCCUUCUGUCUCUUCUCCUCCAUCUUAUGUUUCUACUGCAUUCCUCCUUCCCAUGUCUGCCCACCCUACUCCACCCUUUUCUCUCUAGUCAUCUAUCGUCCUUCAUUCACCACCUCGCCUUCUCUACUUGCCCUAAACAGCAUUGCGUUAUUUCCUCGUAAUGCCAUCUCUACCACUGCCCUAUUCCUCUGCUGUCCCUACCACCCCCACCUCCAGACCCUUCCUUCUGUAAUCCAUCUCCCCUGUGGGGCUAUGGAAGCAGGAUGAUACUGAGGGGUUGCGAGAAGGUGGCAAGAACGCAUUGGAUUGAAUGCAUCAAAAACCUUCGGGUCUAAUUAUGCUUGCCACACAACAGGAAAGUACAGUUGCUCUGUAAAUUCACCCGUUUGUUUACUGGCUCAGAGGACAAGAGUAAUGAGAUAUUGAAUUCAUCAAUCAAAUUUAAAUCUUUCAUCAGUGUUAAAGUUAGAUUUACUACCUUCGAUUUUAUAACAGCCUUAGUUGAUCUAUCUAAGAUUGGGUCUAAGCAAAAAUUAAAGUCUCCUCCAAUUAAUAUUUUUUCAUGUGCAUCCGCCAAAUUCAAACAAGCUUCUUGUAUGAAUUUUGCAUCAUUUUCAUUUGGUGCAUAAAUAUUCAUAAAUGUCCAUAAUUCAGAGAAAAGUUGACAAUGUAUAAUCACUUAUCUCCCCGCAGAAUCGGUUAUUACAUUUUGUAUUCUAAUUGGUAACAUUUUAUUGAUCAAAAUUGCUACUCCCCUCGCUUUUGAAUUAAAUGAAGCCGCAACAACACUACCCACCCAAUCUCUCUUUAGUUUCCGAUGUUCUGUUUCUGUUAAAUACAUUUCCUGUAAAAAGGCUAAAUCUAUCUUCAUUUUCUUAAUAUGUGUUAAGAUUCUUUUUCUUUUCACUGGUCCAUUAAGCCCAUUAAUAUUAAAACUCAAAAAAUUCAAUAAAUUAGCCAUUAUUCUUAACAAAGUUACUCCAAUCUAAAACAUUACUUAUCUUCUCAACUCUCAUAGUUCCUUGGGAAAUCUCUUUGAACUUCACCAUGUUGCUAUGUGUCUCCCUCCCAACCCUCCAGGCAAAAAGAAAAAAGAUAGAAAAGAUACAAAAAAAGAAAAAACAAAAUACCCCCCCCCCACUAAUGUUGUGAAUGAAAAGAUACACACUACCCCCCUCCAUUUUGUGGGUCGUGGCUAAAGUCAUGCUUGCACACAUGAUUAGCGUAGCAAUUGGUCAGUGCUUCUUCCAGCUCCCCCGCAACAAAAAAAAAUUAUAUAUAAACAAAAUUAAUAUUACUAUUCCCAACUAGUAUUCUUCAAAUUUUAAUCUUUCUUCCCCCCUCGUAUAAUUAAUAAUAUAUUUAUAUAUUCAUCCGCCCAAAAAUCCAACAAGUCCAUUCUUUGACCCAGUCUUCAUCUUCAAUCUAUCUCGCUCCCCUGGAUUUGUUCUUGUAUCUGAUGAAUAUUCAGAGAAUCUCGUACAAACUGCUCUGCUUUCUGGUAGUCAUCAAAAAAUCUUUUUUCUCCACCAGCCAAAAAAAUCUUCAAGGUUGCAGGAUAACGCAAUAUAAAUUGAUAACCAUGAUCCCAUAGGAUUUUUUUCACUGGAUUAAAUUUAUUCCUUCUCUUCAAAAGUUCAUAACUUAUGUCAGGGUAGAAAAAAACUUUAUUCCUUUGAAUCAUCAAUGGCCCUUUUCUAUUCUUGGCAGCUUGGGUAGCUGCCUGUAGAAUCCUUUCCUUGUCUUGAAAUCUUAAGAAUUUUAUUAAAAUCAAUCGUGGAUAUUGGUCAUCUUGUUGUUUUGGUCUUAGAGCUCUAUGUGCCCGCUCAAUUUCAAUUGACCGAACCUCCUCUUUCAUUUGCAAAACUUCCGGGAUCCAUUUACCCCAUUGCCCUUUCCAUCUUCUGAAGCUUCUUAUCCAUUUUAUUCUGUCUUUUCAUAGCUUUAUUAUAGCAUAUCCUCAUAUCUCUAAUCUCUGCUCUUACUUUUCUUAGUUCAGCCGCUAAUUGCAAUAAAGCCUCUUUUAUGUCUCCAUCAUCUCCUUUACUUCCAAUCUCUUCCAGUCCUUCCUCCUCCUCUUCAUCUGUGUUCUCUGCAGAAUCCAAUUCUGACUCUGAGUCACUUUCAGUUGCAGUGGCUGUCGGUUCUUGUAGUUUGCGCCGUGUCGAUCUGCGCAUGCGCAUUUCCGGCAUCUUCUUCCGAGAGACCUCUACCGCCGCCAUUGCUCCCUGUUCUAUGCCGGAGAUAGAAUGCAUCUCCUCCGAAGGAGAUCCAACCUGAGUUCGAGGCUCCAUCGUUGCAGUAGGCCCUUUUUUCUUCCCAUCUCGCGGCGGCUUCACAACAACAGACUUCUUCUGAUGCGGUUUACGAGGCAUAUCGUAAAGUAGUCUUGCAAAGUUUAUAAAUAAUUUUCGGAAAGUAUUUAUUAACUUUGUUUUGUUUAACCGGUACUUUGCUGAUUUUUUACGGGAGAGCUGGAUUUACACGUCUCAAUCCCACGUCAUCAUGUGACCCCCCACCCGGGGGCAGCUGUGUUGAGGGUCAGAGGUGAGGGAGCCCACUCUUACCAUCUGCCUGUGAUCUGACAGGAAGAAGUCCAGGAUCCAGCUACACACGACAGGGUGAAGGUCGAGGUCUCUGAGCUUCUUGUCGAGCCUGGAGGGAAUUAUGGUGUUGAAUGCUGAACUGUAGUCCAAGAACAGCAUUCUGACGAAGCUCACAGACUGAGAAUGGUGGACCCUCUAUGUCAAAGACUGAGGAGAAAGGACAGAAAUUAGGAGACCGACUAAUCCCAUUGGAAGCUGUCGGGGGCUGGAGAAGAUGUACCAGGACCAAGGGAGCGGAACAUCAAUGAACAGUGGUCCCUGGCUGAUGACCCUGUAGUUGACCUGAGGGCACUGUUGGAGACACAGCAGGCAGCAAUGGCAAGCAGGAAACAACAUCUUCCUCUAAAUCUCAUUCGGUUUUAUUCUGUAGCAAGCUCACAGACUGAGAGUAAUGGACCCUGUACGUCAGAGGCCGAGGUACCAUCAAGUUACAGGGGAACAUUAAGCAACAGACGCAAGCAAUGCGGAGGCGAGAGAGGGAGAAGGGAAUGAGUCAAUGUGUGCACUGCCUCUGGUCUUGCACGCUGAGAUAUUUCUACUGGCCCAAGCCUGCCUAUUUUUUUGUCUCGAAUUAGAUUCCUCCUUCAGAUACUGCCAAUGCCACUUGUUUUCACAGGAGAGCAGAGCAGUAAGCUGCCUGCUCUGCCAUUCGAUGCAAUCAUGAGUCAAGAGUCAUACAGCACAGCUGUAGGCAUUUCACCCCGCACUGUUCAUGCUACACAUUUAUACUGCUCCCAUUUACCAAUACAGAGCCUACAGCCCUCUAUGGCUUGCUGAUUCAAGUUGUUCAUUUAGAUACUUCUGAAAUGUUGUGAGAGUCUCUGCCCCCAUCACACUCUCAGGCGCUGCAUUACAUAUUCCAGCUGUCCUCUGGGUGUCAGGGAGUUUCAAAACACAAAAGCAGACACUUCAGUCCACCUCGUCUGAUCAGGUUGUCUACCUGAGUUUGUCCCAUUUUCCCUCACUUGCUCCAUAUCCAAAUGUCCCUCUGAAAAUAUUUCUUAAAUGUUGUAAUUGUACCCACCUCUAAAACUUCCUCUGGCAGCUUGUUCCACGUGCUCACUACCUUCUGUAUGGUCGUUUUCAAAUCUUUUC